rnacentral:misc_RNA from 1 species
UUGUAAGGUUGCUUCUAUUUCAACAAAAUAAUUGAUUUAUAAAUAUUAAUUGUAGUUGAUUAUUGUGGAAGGUGCUACCGCCUUUAUUGCAACAAAAUAAUCGAUUUUUUAUAUAUUCAUUGUUAUCAUAUUCAUGCUAAAACCCACAGAAUCAGUUAUUUCUCAUUUUAUCACAACUUUUGUGGUUUGGUGAUAGAAAAAUGAGUCCUCGAAAAAUAUUGCAACGUAAUGUGUGUGGGUACACAACGGACUGAAGAAGUAAUUUAACAGCACACAACCUGAGUAAGCAUUUGGGGCCAGAGAGUUAUCACUAUGUUUGCAUCGCCUGUGACCUGAGAUGCCCUUCUCUUCAGGAUAUAAAUCGACAUCAGCUGGCAGCCCAUCCAGGUAAGAAAUUACCAAAAGGUUGAAGUCUAAUCAUAGCACUGAAUGACUUUUACUUAAUUUGAGUCUAUAAGUUGACUUCCUUUUUCAGAGUUUUCCGUUUAUCACUGUAUCCUUGGUGAAGGAAGAUAAAGGCAUGACAUUUUUUCUAUUUCCCAUUUUUUAGCACCAGACGCCAUUGAAGCCGGGAGGUUUACAGAGACCAUGGAAGUGGCUGACAUGGUUGUGUCUUUUACAGUGGAGAUAUGGUUUUGGUGUCUCCCAUCCAACCGCUUCACGGACACUCCAGAUCUUCUCUACUUGCAGAAGAAGGCGUCCCUGACCCUUCUGAAUGAGUUCAGGUCCAGGGGCUUGUCUCUUCAGGAGGCCAUCAUUCAGGAGAUCAUCCGCAAGAGAUUUCCUAGCAUGGACCAGGAGCUUUCAAGCUUUGCUAGGAAAAUGGUCCAGGGCAUUCUGGAGGUUCUGAAAGGUGGGAUGGGUCUGAUGCUGAAGCAGGUCCAUAUGUUCGAAGAGUAUGGUGGCGGAAGCAGGAAAGGGUUUGGCAUUUAUGCCUCUAGGGACUUAAAAGCUGAAGAAGUUUUCAGAACAAUGUAUGGGGCCUUAGUUCCCAUCCCGGCCGGCAAACAGGUGAUUUCAUUAAUAAAAAUAAAAAAUGAUUAAUAAAAAAAGGAAAAUGUUCUAAAACUGCUUUUUUCAUUCAUGUUUGAAUCAUACAACAUUUAUCUAAUGCUGAUUUCAUACAAUGUUUGUUUCAGACGGAUCCAUCCCAGAAUUUUAGCUCCAUCUUGGCAAGGAGGGGCAGGGGGACCUCUGUCAUGUCCUGCAACUUGGCUGGGCCGCUGCAGUUUGUCAACCACAGCUGUCAACAUUGGAACUCCCAGUAUGUGACUGGACCAGGACGGAAGUCGAGUCAUCUAAAGGUAGCAGUGGACAUCAAGCAGGGGGAGGAAAUAUUAGUCCACUACUACUAUUGGCUGGGUGACCGGGAGAGCAACAGUUGGGAGGCUGGAUGUUAUUGCUGCCAAUAGACCUAGAGAUGUUCGUGUCAAAUAUAAAGUUUGUAAAGAUGUUCAUAAUUUCGAAGUGAACUGAGAUUUUAAUUUGUAAUG